CAUUUUCUGCAAGAAAGUUCAAUGUGUGAAGAUUUUUGUUUUUGUUUUUGUUUUCUUUCCAGCGACAAACAAAAACUACAAAAUGUCAGAACUGCUUUGCAGAACAUUGAGAAUCCAUUUCAGUCUGCUCUUCCCUGCUGCUGCUCCACCUUUAUGGAGAUCUUGGCUCCGGUGCUUUCUUUCCCUAUGCAAGGGAUCUCAGAGAGCACUGGCAGUUUCCAUCUUCUCUUCUUCCACCCAACGGACACCACAGUGCUGUUUGGACUGGAGUGGAGAGGUGUAGACUGGAUUUCAUCCUGAUGUACAGGUUUAUUGAUAUCAUACCAGAAUGCUGGAAAGCACAAGAGAAGGAUUUCCUGUAUACAAUCUCUGUUCAAACAAGGAUAAAGUGUAGCCAAAGAAGGAAAGACAAACAGAAGAUUUAAAGUGUUGCUAGAGAAGGAAAGAACUAGAUGAGAAACCACAACUGGAUGUAAUUAAGUGGUAAAACUGGAAAAUGGACAACUACCAACACAUAUGCUCUGCACCAAGAAAACAUGCGUACAUACAACCUGACUUUGCUGAGCAUGCUGUGCUUUAACAAAGUGAGUUUAUAUGACACAGCAUGAAGAGAUCUGUGAGUUUGAGUAGAUACCCUAUACAUCUCAGCUGAGUGCUGUCCCACAAGUAUUUGGAGACUGUGCUGAGUCUCUUGUACUUCCUUGGUAUCUGAACUAGCCUGGACAUCUCUAUUCUAAAGUGCUGUGUAAUGCACAACAUGCACUUUCAGUAUCUCUCAGUUCCCAGUUUCUUUGUUGGAAUUCAAAUCUGCUUAAUAAUUUGCCAGUUCAAGUACUGACCACCCAGCCAAUGCUGAUUUAGACAAAGUCACUACUAAAGCUCCCACUAGGCCUAGGCAAUGUCACAUCUGCUGCUUGAAACAGACACAUUUUUAAACUGUGGGCAAUACAAAGCCCUUGGUUUAAUUUCAGCUGAUAAAGGAAAGAAAGUAUGCUAUCCUCCAUGACAAAUUCAAAGACAGCUUUAAAAACGUUAGCCACACAGAAGUAUUUGUGUUAUAUAAAAUGUUCUUCAUGAAACAGUGGGAGAUCUGUCUGAAAUUAGCAAGAAUUACAAAACCUCCCACUCUGAAGGUGAAGGGAGAAGCAAGGUUAUAAUUACAUAAACGACUAUGGGGGAAACAGUUGUUCUGCAUAAAGAGUAGGAUCCAAGCAGCAUUGAAUUCCACUUGGAGACAGCUUUCCUCAAGUUGGUGAUUUUUCAUUUUUUCCCCCUUGAUUUUGUGUCCUAAAGACUUGGUCUCUUCC
rnacentral:lncRNA from 1 species